rnacentral:tRNA from 1 species
GGGCUGUAGCUCAGUUGGGAGAGCGCUACAUUCGCAUUGUAGAGGUCGAGGGUUCGAUUCCCUUCAGCUCC